AGGACUGAGUGUUGGGCCCCUGUGUCAACUAGAAAGUCUACCGGGGUCCCCUCCACCUUAAGAGUUACCCUGGGUUCGGAGAGGGGAGCCAAACCCCGCCGCCCCU